UUAACUUUCUUUAGAAAAUGUGAGUGGUGCUUACCCAUACACACCUCUGUGAUGUUAAGGUGUUCUUAGUUGUUGCUAGGUUAUUCUAAGUGGUUGCUAGGGUGUUCUAGGUGGUUGCUAGAGUGUUAUAAAUGCUUUCAAAGGUGCUAUACAUUUUACUAUAGUGUUCUGGGUGGUUACUAUAGUGUUCUAAGUGCUUUCAGUGGUGUUCAAGGUGGUUGCUAGGGUGUUCUUGUUGGCCACAAACUUGUUUUAGGUGUUGAUAGGGUGUGCUAAGUGGUUGCUAUGGUGUUCAGGUGUUGCUAGGGUAUUCUAAGUGGACACUAGAAUGUUUCAGUGGUUGUUAGGAUGUUCUAGGUGGUUGCUAGGAUGUUCUUAUUGGCCACUAAGUUGUUUUAGGUGUUGCUAGGGUGUUCUAAGUGGUUGCUAUGGUGUUCUAAGUGGUUGCUAUGGUGUUCAGGUGUUGCUAGGGUGUUCUAAGUGGUCAAUAGGAUGUUUCAGUGGUUGUUAGGGUGUUUUAGGUGUUGCUAGGGUGUUCUAAGUGGUCACUAGGAUGUUUCAGUGGUUGUUAGUGUGUUUUAGGUGCUGCUAGGGUGUUCUAAGUGGUCACUAGGAUGUUUCAGUGGUUGUUAGGGUGUUUUAGGUGUUGCUAGGGUGUUCUAAGUGGUCACUAGGAUGUUUCAGUGGUUGUUAGUGUGUUUUAGGUGUUGUUAGG